CAGGGAAGGUCGGUUUGGGUGGACAUCAACUGGAUGGAUAACGGAGAGUGCCUGGAUCUCAUCGAGAAGAAACUGGUCGGCUGGCGCUGUGAACGAGGAGAGUCACUUCCCCAAAGCCACAGACUGGCACUUUAACUGGAGAACUGCCAGUCAGCCUCGAAAAACUCCUUCUACGUGAAGCCUCGAGUGGCCGUGCACAACUUUGGAGUCCGGCACUACGCAGGAGAGGUGCUGUACGAUGUUCGGGGCAUGCUGGAGAAGAACAGAGACACUUUCAGAGACGACAUCCUCAACCUGCUGAGAGAGAGCAGGUUGGACUUUGUGUACGACCUGUUUGAACACGU